rnacentral:rRNA from 1 species
GGACUCGCACAAGCGGUGGAGCAUGCGGUUUAAUUCGAUGCAACGCGAAGAACCUUACCAGGUCUUGACAUCCCACUGACCGAUCUAGAGAUAGGUCUUCCCUUCGGGGCAGUGGUGACAGGUGGUGCAUGGUUGUCGUCAGCUCGUGUCGUGAGAUGUUGGGUUAAGUCCCGCAACGAGCGCAACCCUUAUCAUUAGUUGCUACCAUUAAGUUGAGCACUCUAAUGAGACCGCCGGUGACAAACCGGAUGAAGGUGGGGAUGACGUCAAAUCAUCAUGCCCCUUAUGACCUGGGCUACACGCGUGCUACAAUGGCUAGUACAAAGAGUUGCAAUACCGCGAGGUGGAGCUAAUCUCAUAAAGCUAGUCUCAGUUCGGAUUGUAGUCUGCAACUCGACUACAUGAAGUUGGAAUCGCUAGUAAUCGCGAAUCAGAAUGUCGCGGUGAAUACGUUCUCGAGUCUU